AAGUCCCGCAACGAGCGCAACCCUUGUCCGCUGUUGCCAUCAGGUUAUGCUGGGCACUCUGCGGAGACUGCCGGUGAUAAACCGGAGGAAGGUGGGGAUGACGUCAAGUCAGCAUGGCCUUUAUGUCUGGGGCUACACACGUGCUACAAUGGCCGGUACAAACCGUCGCGAGCCCGCAAGGGGGAGCUAAUCGGAGAAAGCCGGUCUCAGCUCGGAUUGCAGGCUGCAACUCGCCUGCAUGAAGUUGGAACCGCUAGUAAUCGCGGAUCAGCACGCCGCGGUGAAUACGUUCCCGGGCCUUGUACACACCGCCCGUCACAUCACGAAAGCUGGCUGUACUAGAAGUCGCUGCGCCAACCCGCAAGGGAGGCAGGCGCCUAAGGUAUGGUUAG
rnacentral:rRNA from 1 species